rnacentral:rRNA from 1 species
GGGUGAGUAUCGCGUGGGUCAUCUCCCCUGAAGUGGAGCAUACCCAGCCGAAAGGUUGGUUAAUACUCCAUGGGGUUGAGGGGGCGAAUGCCAUUCUCAACUAAAGUAGCAAUACGCUUCAGGACGAGCCUGCGUUCCAUCAGCUUGUUGGCGGGAUAACAGCCCACCAAGGCUUCGACGGAUAGCUGGUGUGAGAGCACGACCAGCCACAAUGGGACUGAGACACGGCCCAUACACCUACGGGUGGCAGCAGUAAGGAAUCUUCCGCAAUGGGCGAAAGCCUGACGGAGCGACACCGCGUGAAGGAUGAAGGCUCUCGGGUUGUAAACUUCUUUUCUGGGGGAGCAUUAUGAGAGUACCCCAGGAAUAAGCAUCGGCUAACUACGUGCCAGCAGCCGCGGUAAUACGUAGGAUGCAAGCGUUAUCCGGAAUCAUUGGGGCGUAAAGCGUCCGCAGGUGGAACAGUGUGUCGAGCGAUAAUGCCAGUGCCUACCAUUGGUGCCUCGCUCGAUACUGCUGAUCUAGAGGAUGGGAGGGGCAGACGGAAUUCCCGGUGUAGGGGUAAAAUCCGUAGAUAUCGGGAAGAACACCAAAAGCGAAGGCAGUCUGCUGGAACAUUCCUGACACUCAUGGACGAAAGCGUGGGGAGCGAAAAGGAUUAGAUACCCUUGUAGUCCACGCCCUAAACGAUGAGUACUCGAUGUGGGGAGAGUCAAUCCUCCCUGUGUCUAAGCUAACGCGUUAAGUACUCCGCCUGAGUAGUACGGCCGCAAGGCUAAAACUCAAAGGAAUAGACGGGGACCCACACAAGCGGUGGAGCAUGUGGUUUAAUUCGACAGUAAGCGAGGAACCUUACCAGGUCUUGACAUGGAGCGAACGCCGAGGAAACUCGGAAGUGCCCGCAAGGGAGCGCUCGCACAGGUGCUGCAUGGUCGUCGUCAGCUCGAGCCUUGAGGUGUGCGGUUAAGUCCGUGAUCGAGCGCAACCCUUACCCUCUGUUAUAUAUUUCUGAGGGGACUGCCGUGCCACAAGCCGGAGGAAGGUGGGGAUGACGUCAGAUCAGCAUGGCCCUUAUGGCCUGGGCGACUCACGUGCUACAAUGACGAGUCACAAAGCGAAGCGAAGGAGCAAUCCGGAGCAAAUCGUCAAAACUCGCCUCAGUUCGGAUUGGGGGCUGCAACUCGCCCCCAUGAAGCUGGAAUCGCUAGUAACCGUGAAUCAGCCAUGUCACGGUGAAU